CCCAUCGGGGCCACGGAUACCUGUGUGUCCUCCCCGCCAUUCCAUGCCCAACGGGGUUUUGGAUACUUACCUGCCUUUUCAUUCUUUUUUUUUCUUAUUAUUUUUUUUUCUAAACUUGCCCAUCUGGGCUGUGGAUACCUGCUUUUAUUCUUUUUUUCUUCUCCUUAGCCCAUCGGGGCCAUGGAUACCUGCUUUUUGUAAAAAAAAAAAAAAAAAAAAAAAAACCUUUCUCGGUCCAUCGGGACCUCGGAUACCUGCGUUUAGUCUUUUUUUCCCAUGCCCAACGGGGCCUCGGAUACCUGCUGUUAUUAUUUUUUUUUCUUUUUCUUUUGCCCAUCGGGGCUGUGGAUACCUGCUUUAAAUUUUUUUUUUCACGGCCCAACGGGGCGCUUGGUGGAUGGAAAUAUGGUUUUGUGAGUUAUUGCACUACCUGGAAUAUCUAUGCCUCUUAUUUGCGUGUACUGUUGCUGCUGAUCGUUUGGUGCUGUGUGAGUGAACCUAUGGCUUAGAAAAACGACUUUGCUCUUAAACUGAGUGGGUGUUCAGGGCGUGGAGAGCCCGCGUCCGCCAUUAUGGCUUCUGCGUGAUACGGCUAUUCUCGAGCCAGUUACGCCAAGAAUUAGGACACCGAGGAGCACAGCGGACUGGAUAAAAGCAACCAAUUGCGCUGCGCUAGCUAAAGGCUUUCUUUAUAUGUGCGGGGUUGCGGGAUUCGCCUUGAUUUGUGGUAGCAUUUGCGGGGUUGUGCUAGCCGGAAGUAGAAAGCCAAGGAGUGCUCGUAUUAGUGUGCGGUGUUGCGCGGAAGCCGCAGAGGACUAGGGGAUAGGGCUCAGCGUGGGUGUGGGGAUUGGGCAGGGUGUGUGUGCAUAUGGACCCCUGGCGCGGUCCCCCGUGGCUUUAAGGGCUGCUCAGAAGUCUAUAAAAUGGCGGCUCGGGGGCUCCACCCGAGGCUCGACAGCCCAAUCUUUGUUCUGGUGUGUAGCAAUGGAUUAUAGGACAUUUAGGUCGUACAGGAAAAGAUGGCGGCUCAAGUUCUUGGUGCGGUAUAACGCAAAGGGCUUUGUGUGUCACAUGUCAGCUUCAUGUCUGAGUUAGCCUGGAGAGGUGGCACAUGCUCUUGAAUGUGUCUAAGAUGGCGGAAGUCAUGUGACCUGCCCUCUAGUGGUUUCUUUCAGUGAUUUUUUUUUUGGCGGGCUUUAGCUACUUGGCGGGCUUUGCCCGAGGGUACACUUGGUGCAUUAUGGUAGGGUGUGGUUGGUCCUACCUUGUGCCACUCGAAGCUGAGGCAAGGCUAAGUGGAAGUGUUGGUUGCCACUUGACGUAACUCGUCAGAAAUGGGCACAAGUGUGAAAGUGUUGGUGUUUGCUUGACUUCCAGUUAGAAAUGUGCAUUAUUGCUUGGUGGCCAGGAUGGAAUUAGACUGUGAUGAGUCACUGUCCCAUAAGGACGUGAGUUUCGCUUGGUACUUCACGUGUGUCUUUAGUCAUCAUUUUUUCGAAGUGCCUGCCCAGGUCGGGAGAGCGCAUGCUUGCAAUUCUAACACUGAAGUGUUGGAUGAUGUCGGAUCCGAUUCGAGAGACCGAGGCUGCGGGUUCUUGGUCGAUGUAAAUCAUUGAAACCUCACCUAUUA
rnacentral:sRNA from 2 species